GAUGAACGCUGGCGGCGUGCCUAAUACAUGCAAGUCGAGCGAACAGACGAGGAGCUUGCUCCUCUGACGUUAGCGGCGGACGGGUGAGUAACACGUGGAUAACCUACCUAUAAGACUGGGAUAACUUCGGGAAACCGGCGCUAAUACCGGAUAAUAUAUUGAACCGCAUGGUUCAAUAGUGAAAGACGGUUUUGCUGUCACUUAUAGAUGGAUCCGCGCCGCAUUAGCUAGUUGGUAAGGUAACGGCUUACCAAGGCAACGAUGCGUAGCCGACCUGAGAGAGUGAUCGGCCACACUGGAACUGAGACACGGUCCAGACUACUAAGGGAGGCAGCAGUAGGGAAUCUUCCGCAAUGGGCGAAAGCCUGACGGAGCAACGCCGCGUGAGUGAUGAAGGUCUUCGGAUCGUAAAACUCUGUUAUUAGGGAAGAACAAAUGUGUAAGUAACUAUGCACGUCUUGACGGUACCUAAUCAGAAAGCCACGGCUAACUACGUG
rnacentral:rRNA from 1 species